rnacentral:rRNA from 1 species
CCUACGGGUGGCUGCAGUGAGGAAUAUUGGUCAAUGGACGAGAGUCUGAACCAGCCAAGUAGCGUGAAGGAUGAAUGCCCUAUGGGUUGUAAACUUCUUUUAUAUGGGAAUAAAAUGUUCCACGUGUGGGAUUUUGUAUGUACCAUAUGAAGAAGGAUCGGCUAACUCCGUGCCAGCAGCCGCGGUAAUACGGAGGAUCCGAGCGUUAUCCGGAUUUAUUGGGUUUAAAGGGAGCGUAGGUGGAUUGUUAAGUCCGUUGUGAAAGUUUGCGGCUCAACCGUAAAAUUGCAGUUGAAACUGGCAGUCUUGAGUACAGUAGAGGUGGGCGGAAUGCGUGGUGUAGCGGUGAAAUGCUUAGAUAUCACGAAGAACUCCGAUUGCGAAGGCAGUUCACUGGACUGCAACUGACACUGAGGCACGAAAGUGUGGGUAUCAAACAGGAUUAGAUACCCGAGUAGUC